CCAGACAGUAGUGACGAGAAAACAAAACCAGUGACAGAGACUCAGGUGGUACAUGAGGGAGAAACUAAACCUGAACCUGCAAGUCAAGUCACAGAUGGAUCUGAGUCAGAUGCACCUGAUGUCUCAUAGGAGGUAACUGGGUGUUACAGGCAGAGUCGACAGUGAGAGAGAGAGAGACAGAGAGAAAGGUCUUCCUUUUGCCGUUGGUUCACCCUCCUAUGGCCGCCGCAGCAGGCGCACUGCGCUGAUCUGAAGGCAGGAUCCAGGUGCUGAUCCUGGUCUCCCAUGGGUUGCAGGGCCCAAGCACUUGGGCCAUCCUCCACUGCCCUCCCUGGCCACAGCAGAGAGCUGGCCUGGAAGAGGGGCAACCGGAACAGAAUCCGGCGCCCCGACCGGGACUAGAACCCGGUGUGCUGGAGCCGCUAGGCGGAGGAUUAGCCUAUUGAGCCACGGUGCCGGCCCUUGCUGCAAUUUUUGAAGGCAAGAUGUGAGGUAGAAGAGGACCAUACCAGGCAUAAACCCACAACACUGCUGACUGACAAGGUUAGUGAUUGAGAGUUAGUUUUUGAGUUACUUUAAUAUACUACAGAGGACACAACGAAAUUCAGUCUUUACAAUUGUGGGGAGCAACUGGGAGCAACUCGGACUAGACUAAGUUACUGGAAUUAAGACUUAUUCUAUGCAUCUGCUUUCCCACAAUAUGGCGCUGAGAAGGGAGUAGCAACUUCUGCGCAGCUGCCUCUCGCUAGCUUGGGUGAUGACCUGCAGGAGCUGAUCCUGCUCCUGAUUGGAGGAGAGCAGCGUACUUGGCAUGUGGGUAGCAGAGUUGGGAUUGGUGGAGGAGGACUAUAAAGGAGGAGAGAGACAACAUGCACCAGGAACAUCUAAGGGGAACACCUGAGGAACACCUGUGCAGCCCCCGAGAGAGCCGGCCGGCGGUGUGCUGCUCCCCCGCGGAAGUGGGGAAAGUGGCAGGGGGAACCGCCCUUCCACGGAGGUGGAAGGGAUGGUAGCCAACCCGGGAAGAACCAGCAGCAAACCCGGGGAGGGCCGAGCAGACAAAAGAACAGCGCAGGGUCCUGUGUCGUUCCUCCACGAAGACGGGGAGCGACAUAAUGGUGCCGUGACUCGGAUGUGAAGCCUAGGCAGGGCUUAGUGUCGUUCCUCCAUGAAGAGGGGGAGCGACAACAAUGAAAGCUACUUCUCCAGGGUUUUGUAUGGAAUCAUAACCCAAGCUGUCAUAUGCCGUCAUGCUUUGUCUGUGGCACAUAACUUAGAAAUCUAGUAACUGUCCCAUCAAUUAAAAAUCAUAGUCAUUUGACAAGUAAGGAUGUUGGCUAUUUUAAUGCAUUUUGGGAUAUCAAAAGUGUAAAACUUUUGUUCAAAAACUCUUAAAGGUUUAGGAAGCGAAUUAUUUAGUAAUAGUACUUAUUCCAAAGAAGAAAAUUUACAUGGGCGAAAAUUUACAUGGGCGGUGGGACUAGUAAUACUAACCUGAAAACAUCAAGAUAAGACGCAGUACAAGAGAUUGGAAGACUUUGCUCUUCGUUUUUCGGGUUGACUUACUGAUGAUUUGUCACACGAUGAUAAAGGUUUUGUGUCGAUAACUAGAAAGCCACAUCUUCUCUAUGAUCCCUCAACAAAUUCAGUGAGUAUUUUCUGUGCUGUAGCAUUUGCAAGAUUUGUAAAUGAUGAAAUUUUAAAAAAUUUAAGGGCUUUUUCUUCUGCUAGGAGUCAUCCUAACAAAGGCCAGUUAUACUUCAUGGUGUAGCUCCUCUGAAAACCAAGGGUCUGUCAUCUAUCCUGGUGCCCCAUCAAUGACUGGCUUCAUGGCAACUUUUGCCUUCAUUUUAAAACAAGAAAUCCUGACACAGACAUUAUAGCACACUGCUUUUUUUUUUUUUUUUUAACAGAGACGCUGAUAUCAAAACUUGGAGAUGAAAUAAAGUUAGUUCUGAAAAUGUUAGAGAAAUGGUUAACUCCAUUAAAGACCCACUUAUGCAACAAUGUUUUAAGAAAACCCAAAACCCAAACAUACAUCUGCUCCAUUGAGAAAUCUAGUGAUUUCCCAGAGGAGGGCUUCUUGCAGGGAGUUUGAGUUGAAAGCUAAACUGCAAGAGUACUUGAAAGAAAACAGUAAAACAGUAGGCUGAGCUUGCUCAGUGCUGUGAAAAUAAGAAUGGCUAUGGAAACCAGCUGAUUUAUCAGACAUUUUCACCGUGAAUACAUAAGCAAGUUUGAGAGAAAGCUUUUUCUUAAAGUGACAAGAAUUUUAGAUCUGAAAGGAAACUGAGUCUCGAAAAGUCAUGUCAGCAGUCGCCAAGGGGACUCUUGAAAGCCUCUUGAAAGGUUUCUGCAGCAGCUUGGGCUUGAAAAUGAAAAAUACAUUAAGCUUCAAACCCACCUGGGAAAACAACAUAGCCGAAUUAAAUAGCAUAGCCUCUCAUUUCCCAACAUGAGUGAAUGAGGAACUGAAUGAGGAACUCCUGCAAGUCUUCUGCUCAGCAUGAGACUUUGUCUCUGAAGGAAGAGAAAGAACUCAGUCCUUUAAAAAGUUAGGCAGCAGGAGAAAUGUUAAGGCUUCUUGCACAAGUGACUGUUAAUUCAAAGGCUGGUGAACAUGGGACUGUGUUUCUGUCCUAGCUAAUGGUCCUGUUAGGUAAACCAGACUAGAAGAGUUUGGAGGAGCAGAGAGAACAGGUAACACCUUGCUAAUGCAGAUGGGGAAGGACCUUCCUUACUAUCUCCAGGUAUUUACAAUGUUGACUCUUGAAGAGGAUGCAGUCCCCUUCAAAUGCUAGUAAGAGUUACUCUAUCAUUUGCAAGAACAGGGAAGAUAGGAUUUUGGUGCCUUCGUCAGUGGCCUUGCUCCUGGCUCCGAGACACAGAUACUUUUUAUUUUGAUAGUGCAAGACAAAAGGACUCUGGGAAUAAAAUUGGCCAUGUGCCUACACAACAUACAGCUCUGUGGAACUUGGUUCCUUUGCUUUGUGAAGCUGCUAGUAUACAGAAUGAUUUUCACGUUAUUGUUUGUUUUUAAUUGCCUUUUGUAUUUAUUUAUAUUUGGUGAAACCUGAGUGUGACACAAGCUGUUCUUCCCCAGCAAUAGAACGCUGCAUUCUGUUGGAGUGUGAAUUUAUUCACUCAGAGAUUGUUCUUGGCUUUGUCAGCUGUUUCUUUUCACUGACAUCUCAGUGUAUUACUUUGUAAAUUACAAGAUUCCAGGGUAGGAAUUGAGUGCUUUUUUCUGGUUGUUGUUCAGUUUUUUAUUUUAAAAGAUGAAAAGUUAACAAAACAAAAUGUUUUGGUUUAGUAUACUUGCGUUGCUCUUUGUAGGAAACAGUGUUAAACUUGGUCUUUUAAACAUGUUUUUCCAGGGCUAACCAUGAUUUUUACUUGUAUUUUGCUUUUGGUAUGGCCAAAUAUUCAGCUUGUUUUUCAUAACUCCUGGUAUUUUUAGAAAAAUAAAAAUAAAUCUGUUCCUUAAAGAC